rfam:Schistosoma mansoni, Puerto Rico, WGS project CABG01000000 data, contig: 0108
AUCCAGCCGACAAGUCCCAAAUAGGACGAAACGCGCGUCCUGGAU